GGAUAGCUCAGCCGGUAGAGCAUGAGACUCUUAAUCUCAGGGUUAGGGGUUCGAGCCCCACAUUAGGCA
rnacentral:tRNA from 1 species